GAACCCCCGGGAGGAGGCACGUGGGUCACAGCGUAGGGGCUCGAGUGAGGCCUCCAAGUCUCCAGGCGGCUGCCAGAACCCAGACGUGGCCCGAGGACCGCCGUGUUGGGCGGGCGGCUGUGCCCGAGUCCGCGGUGUGGAGCCACGAGCUCCUUGCCGGCUCAGCCCCAUGCUGCCAGCUUCCCCCCAGGCUUUGUGCCGCCCGGGCUUGCCAGGUGCAUCGUCUUGGACGGCGUCUGGAACAGCCAGGAAUCCCCAGAGGGGCCAGCGCCCUGAGCACAGUGAGGAGCCGGAGGCAGGGCUGCGCGUGUGCCCCGGCUCGCACACAUCUGCAGCAGGAUUAACCGCCUGACUCGCUCAUUUGCCCGGCCCCUCCCUCCCCACCUGCGCCGGCCGCCAGGCAGAGCGGCAGCAGCCCACGCAGGGUCUUCUCCAGGGAGGAAGACGCCGGUCUGGCAUCCCGGUGCCCUGGGCUUGGUGGGCGGGGAAGGGGAGUCCCGGAUUCGGAUUCGGACAGCGGCUCUGCAGGGGUGGAGGGGCUUCCCUCUCCCUCUCCUGCCCUCUCCACGCCACGUCCCAAGGACAUUUCCAUGGCAACCAGCCACUGGCCGAAAUCAGGAUGCUCGGUGCUGGUGGAGGGCUGAGGAUAUCCCAGGGGCCCGGGACUGGCUGGGGGAGGGGCCCUCCAGCUUCAGCCCAGGGGGUCCCUCCCCACCUUGCUGGGGGGCACUGCACCUGCUGUCUGCACCUGGGAGGGGGGCCCAGGGAAAGCCAGUGCCUCCUCAGUGUCACCCCACACGCCCGGGCAAGGCUCACCUGGCUCCUCGGUGGCUGGGGCAGUCAGGCCCCAGGACAGCUCCUGCCCCUUGACCGUGGGCCACGUGGGCCACUCGCCACGGUCACAAACCCAGCUCCAUGCGGAGGGUCCUCAGAGCGGCGAGAAUGCCGUCCUCAAGGCCCAGCGUGACCAGAGCCAGCUCCCCCACUGCCCCAGCACGUGCCUGCCUGCACUGUGGACAGCACAGGAGGCUGUGGUUGGCAGGAACCAGAGUGGGAGGGAGUGGAGACCCCCGCCCCCGCCUUGAUGCCCAGGGACCUCUCCGGCUGCCUCCACAUCCAGGAAGUUCGUGUCAGCAGCACUGCCCCCUGUAGGACACCUGCUUCCUGGCCAGGACGUGUGACUACAACUCAGGCUCCCCCUGACCUCAGCGUCCAGCAGCCUCAGUUCCCCCUCCUCGUCUCCCUCCACCCUGGUGCACUGAGCUCGGCAGCCACACGGCCUUGUCCCAGGGGUCGGCCCCUGGCUUUGGGGUCCCCUCAGCUCUGGCCUUGGUGGAAUGACCGACGGGCUCUGCUAACUGCUCCCGCUCCUGUGCCCCCUGCUGUCUCUGCCUCCCGUACCUGAUGUGGUUAUGAUGACGACGGCUGUCGAUUCGUCAUGGGCUCGUCCAGGGGCCCGGGCUGACCGUCCUGACUGCAGCCGAAGCCUCUGAGCCAGCUGGGAGCUCGGCCCAGCAGGUGGCAGCUGUGAUGGCCAGGAU
rnacentral:lncRNA from 1 species